GAUGAACGCUGGCGGCGUGCCUAAUACAUGCAAGUCGAGCGAACAGACGAGGAGCUUGCUCCUCUGACGUUAGCGGCGGACGGGUGAGUAACACGUGGAUAACCUACCUAUAAGACUGGGAUAACUUCGGGAAACCGGAGCUAACACCGGAUAAUAUAUUGAACCGCAUGGUUCAAUAGUGAAAGACGGUUUUGCUGUCACUUAUAGAUGGAUCCGCGCCGCAUUAGCUAGUUGGUAAGGUAACGGCUUACCAAGGCAACGAUGCGUAGCCGACCUGAGAGGGUGAUCGGCCACACUGGAACUGAGACACGGUCCAGACUCCUACGGGAGGCAGCAGUAGGGAAUCUUCCGCAAUGGGCGAAAGCUUGACGGAGCAACGCCGCGUGAGUGAUGAAGGUCUUCGGAUCGUAAAACUCUGUUAUUAGGGAAGAACAAAUGUGUAAGUAACUAUGCACGUCUUGACGGUACCUAAUCAGAAAGCCACGGCUAACUACGUG
rnacentral:rRNA from 1 species